rnacentral:rRNA from 1 species
GGGAUAACUACGGGAAACUGUAGCUAAUACCGCAUAAGCAAAAGCCGAAAGGUUUUUGGAAAAGCCGGGACCGCAAGGCCGGUUGCCAAAGGAUGAGCCCAUGUCCCAUUAGCUUGUUGGCGGGGUAACGGCCCACCAAGGCGAAGAUGGGUAGCUGGUCUGAGAGGACGAUCAGCCACACUGGAACUGAGACACGGUCCAGACUCCUACGGGAGGCAGCAGUGGGGAAUAUUGCGCAAUGGGGGAAACCCUGACGCAGCAACGCCGCGUGAGUGAUGAAGGCCUUCGGGUUGUAAAGCUCUUUCGGCUGGGAAGAAGGGUGUGGGAGUUAAUAAGUCUCACAUUUGAUGGUACCAGAGUAAGAAGCACCGGCUAACUUCGUGCCAGCAGCCGCGGUAAUACGAAGGGUGCAAGCGUUGUUCGGAAUUACUGGGCGUAAAGGGUUCGUAGGCGGGAAGACAAGUCAAGUGUGAAAUCCCCAGGCUCAACCUGGGACGUGCAUUUGAGACUGUUUUUCUUGAGUUUUAGAGAGGGUGGUGGAAUUGCUGGUGUAGGAG